CGAACGGGUGAGUAACGCGUGAGGAACCUGCCUCAAANAGGGGGACAACAGUUGGAAACGACUGCUAAUACCGCAUAAGCCCACGGUGCCGCAUGGCACAGAGGGAAAAGGAGCAAUCCGCUUUGAGAUGGCCUCGCGUCCGAUUAGCUAGUUGGUGAGGUAACGGCCCACCAAGGCAACGAUCGGUAGCCGGACUGAGAGGUUGAACGGCCACAUUGGGACUGAGACACGGCCCAGACUCCUACGGGAGGCAGCAUG
rnacentral:rRNA from 1 species